rnacentral:rRNA from 1 species
GUCCCACCUGACCCCAUGCCGAACUCAGAAGUGAAACGCCGUARCGCCGAUGGUAGUGUGGGGUCUCCCCAUGCGAGAGUAGGGAACUGCCAGGC